GGGGAAGAGGAAAAAUGGUUACAUUUCGUACUUCGUUACCUGAGUAUAAAAAGAUUUUUCUGAUUUCCAUUCUUAGAAUCAUUCUGACUGCUCUUUACUAUAGCAACAUUUAAGCGAAAGGCACGCAGGAUUUCUAUUGUUUCCCCACUUACUAAAAGAUUAACGAUGCACGCGCAGAGAAAAGCAACAUUUCUUCUUGGCAUUAUCAUAGCAACAUUUAUGUUCGAGCUUGUUGCUAUCGCUGAGGCCGGUAGCGGAGGUGGUGGAGGAGGUCACAAAAAAGGAGGACAUCAAAAUAAUAUGGAAGAACUCCUCAUACUGACUGGAAUUCUGGCGAAGGUCCUCCAGAAGCAAGGAGGGGGUCAUCAUAAAUCCCAACCUAUCCCGAUUCCAAUCUUCAUUCCCAUGCAUCACCAUCAUGGUUGAUAAUGCAAGCGGACAAGUAAAGAGCAAAACAAAGACCUAGUCUUCUUUUAUAAACUGAGAACUUCAAAGACUUCGAGAUACAGAACUACGGCUCUUAACAUAAAAAACACCUGUAGGCGAACUGAGUUAAUUUUUCGUUCAUUUAUUUUGUCAUAAGGACAUAAGGAAAUUCUCCCAUACUUUGACAUUAUGCGCAAUAAUUAUAAAACUAUUAACUGCAAAAUAUCCAUCACCAUUAGGUGUUAUUAAAUAUGUGUGAAAAAAUUUAUGUAAAAUGUAGUUAAAUAUGGAAUGCACGGUUUAUUUUUGGAAGCUAUUGUCUAUCACAAAUUGCUUUAUGUAAAAACUUUUUAUCUUAAUUAUCCUUUUUAUCUUUUUAAAUACCUUUUUUUUAAACUUUAUAGCCGCGAGCAACUUAUAGAUUUUUUCUUUUGUGUGGCAUCAUUACUGUGCUUUGAGAAACCUUAUCUUCGUAAUCUAAAUAUAAAUAGAAAAACGUUAUGUAACCCAGUAAAUAUUGUCUAUUAAGGAAUUAUUUUAAUCUUAAUACUUCUAGCAAGUUCGCUAUUUAAAUUUGGCUGUUAGCGUUUCAAAUCCUUUAUUAUUGCUGAAUGGCAGUUCAAUAUUCACUCAGUUUCACUUUUUCAUGUCAUAGCCAAUGAAUCAAGGGAUCAUUUUUCAUAGUACAAAAUCCCAUGUUGAGAGUGUUCGAAGGACAUGCAUCCAUUAUAUUCAAGCGGGCCUGAAACAGCAUGUAAGCAAACGCUUUCAAUAUGUGACUUCACAUCAUCACAAUUUUGUAUACAUUUUAAAUGAGUAUGUGUUUCUGUGUAUUAAAUGAAAUAAAUAUGUUUUCAUAUCAUAA